AAAUUGCUCAAAUGAAUUUUGUAACUUGUCUGUUUUGUAGGCUUAUUUUUAAAUCAAGCUUUUUUGUAACAUCCAUUUUAUGACAGAGAAGAAGACAUGACGUCCUGAAAACUGAUGUUUACCAUAAUAUGAACUACCAGAAACCUACAUCACUUUCCAAUCGCAGUUAUUUUUUGAAUCAAAUAGUCUCCAAGAAGGAUUCUGUAGCAGGACUGAUAGUAAACAGAUUUUGAGAAUAUGUACAGAGGACCGGAUGCUAGAUACAACGACUGCUUAUAUCGAUACUCUCAAGGCUCCUAAAUUAAGAAACACAUUUUGUGAAUGUUUUUUAAAUUCUUCUAUUCCCAACGCUUUUUUGAUUUUUAAUUUAUAUAAUUGCACUCAUGGGUCACCAUUGAAAUUUGAAAUAGAUGAGAAUAUUCUUGAUAAAACGUCUAGCUCUCUUAAAGUACGUGCCCAAAAAAAUACUGAGCUUAAGUUUAUUUCUCAAAUUGAUCGGAAAAAAGAGGGAGCUUGUCUUGCCAUCUAUACAGGUACGUACCGCAUUUAUAUUUCAAUUACCGUACAUUUGGAUUUUAAAAAUUGAUCUAGUGUUGUUUAUAGAAAUCAAUACAAAGUAAUCCAUCGGGGCUGCAUGUAAAUUGCAAACUCGGUUGGGCUUUCUUUAGGGAUUCUUGUAUUCUCUAUUUUAUCGCCACAUCAGCGUUGUUUAUGCCGUGUGGAGGCUGUAAAAUGUCGCCCCGUACAUUCAAUUAGGGAUGUUAUAUUUCCGAUCCUUAAAGAUCGUUCAGCACGACAUUAUUGUUGUGCUUGUGGUAAUUUAGAUAUUUCUAUUUGGCAAUUUUCUUGUUGGGUGGUUGCGGUAUUCCUUCAUUGAAUACCGUUGAAUCACCCUUAGGAUAUGUGGCCUGCUUUUUAAAUUUGUCUUUUGACGUCUUAUCUGUGAUAUGCAGGCUUCAUAACAUCUGAUCCCCUUUGAAAAUUCUAUUUUAUUUAGUUCCACCCAUUGUUUUCUCGUUGAGAACAAGGGCAUUUUACUACUUGGGGACCGUAUGCCGCUUUUCAUGGAAUGGCACUUACGUGUUACAUUGAAAGUUCCAUGAU